GCGUGGCGGCGUGCUAUACAUGCAAGUCGAGCGGACUUGAUGAGGAGCUUGCUCCUCUGAGAGUUAGCGGCGGACGGGUGAGUAAUACGUAGGUAACCUGCCCUUAAGACCGGGAUAACUCACGGAAACGUGGGCUAAUACCGGAUAGGCGAUUUCCUCGCAUGAGGGAAUCGGGAAAGGCGGAGCAAUCUGCCACUUAUGGAUGGACCUACGGCGCAUUAGCUAGUUGGUGGGGUAACGGCUCACCAAGGCGACGAUGCGUAGCCGACCUGAGAGGGUGAUCGGCCACACUGGGACUGAGACACGGCCCAGACUCCUACGGGAGGCAGCAGUAGGGAAUCUUCCGCAAUGGACGCAAGUCUGACGGAGCAACGCCGCGUGAGUGAUGAAGGUUUUCGGAUCGUAAAGCUCUGUUGCCAGGGAAGAACGCUAUGGAGAGUAACUGUUCCAUAGGUGACGGUACCUGAGAAGAAAGCCCCGGCUAACUACGUGCCAGCAGCCGCGGUAAUACGUAGGGGGCAAGCGUUGUCCGGAAUUAUUGGGCGUAAAGCGCGCGCAGGCGGUCAUGUAAGUCUGGUGUUUAAACCCGGGGCUCAACUCCGGGUC
rnacentral:rRNA from 1 species